rnacentral:lncRNA from 1 species
GCAGAACUUUUAAAUAAAAAGCCAGAAACUAUAGUGCAUUGGGGCCUUGGGUGCUUGCAUCUCUUAAGCUCAGCAGACAAGAGUUUGAAAAUUAUACUCAGUGGAGCAAACUGUAAGUCAUUGAAAACUUCCUUCUCAUUUAGGAAUGAAAAUUCCAGAACCUUUUCCACUACCUGCUCCAGGUCCAGUUCCUGUUCCAGGUCCCAAAAGCCAUCCUUCUGCAUCCUUGGGCAAAAUGCUGCUUCCACAGUUUGGGAUGGUCAUUUUAAUCAGUGUUUCUGCUAUAAAUCUCUUUGUUGCUCUGUAGUUCCCUGCAUUGUUUAUCUUUCUUGUUCUUUACUUGAAAUAACUAUAGGGAUCCCACAGGAGAUCAGAAGGAAUGACGUAUUUUUCACUUGUUGGCCAAAGUCACUGAUAAAAUGAGAAUUGUAUAUUUGUUAUUCAUUUUGCAAAUUCAGAAAGUUGGUCCAGAUAUAUGUUACAGAACUUUUCACUUCUAUACUAACUGAAAAAAAUCCCGAAAACUGUAUACUUCCGAUUGAAUUCAAUAAAAGAUUUUUAGAUAUUUCAGAAUUGCCAGUAU